GAUGAACGCUAGCUACAGGCUUAACACAUGCAAGUCGAGGGGAAACGGCAUUAAGUGCUUGCACUUUUUGGACGUCGACCGGCGCACGGGUGAGUAACGCGUAUCCAACCUUCCCAUGACUAAGGGAUAACCUGCCGAAAGGCAGACUAAUACCUUAUGGUCUUCACUGACGGCAUCAGAUGUGAAGUAAAGAUUUAUCGGUUAUGGAUGGGGAUGCGUCUGAUUAGCUUGUUGGCGGGGUAACGGCCCACCAAGGCAACGAUCAGUAGGGGUUCUGAGAGGAAGGUCCCCCACAUUGGAACUGAGACACGGUCCAAACUCCUACGGGAGGAAGCAGUGAGGAAGAUUGGUCAAUGGGCGAGAGCCUGAACCAGCCAAGUAGCGUGCAGGAUGACGGCCCUAUGGGUUGUAAACUGCUUUUGUAUGGGGAUAAAGUCAAUCACGUGUGAUUGUUUGCAGGUACCAUACGAAUAAGGACCGGCUAAUUCCGUG
rnacentral:rRNA from 1 species